UCUCCCUUGUUCCAAAAUUUGGCACCGCCUCAUGCCCCUCUCGAAGACCAGACGCCACUGCUGACCCCACCGUGGCCUGACCGCCGUUGUCGCUGCCACUCCAGGCGGUCAGCUCCUCCGUCGGCAGCGCCGCUACACACAACCGAAGUAUCUUCCAGAAUUGAGGUUGAAGAAGAGAAAACAAAAUGACAACUUCUAACAACAAUAAAGAUCAAAGCUUUAACAAGAUACUGUCAUUCAACACCUUCGGGGAAUUUCUACAGAAUUGACUGCCGGUGAACUACUGUGAAUUAUGUGAAACUAUGUCAUGAAUUGAAUGCAGAGACUUUCAAAAAUUGAGUAUAUACCUUCCGUAAGGAGCGAAACUUGUAGAAGAGAAGAUUUUUGAUGGAAGAAUGUGAGAAGGGAUGGCUGCGUGCGUUACAAUAAGGAGGAGGAAACACUUGAUUUUUCAGUUGGAGAUUUUCAGGGAAGAUGGAGAUAUGGAAAAAAACCGUUGGGAGAGCUGGGAGAAUUAUUUGACCAAAUAUUUGACUGAUAAAAAUAAGUGGAAAAAAAUAUAGGAAUAAAAUUUCUAGAAUAAAAG